GGUGGCUCAGUGGUAGAGUGCUUGCCUCACAUGUAUGAGGCCCUGGGUUCGAUUCCUCAGUACCA
rfam:Dipodomys ordii contig_10248, whole genome shotgun sequence.